GGGGGUGUCCUGGCUUCGACGGGGGUUGCAAGGUCGACUGGCGCAUGCCGAGGGGGUAGCUUUCCUCGAUAAUCCAGCUGCAAAACUUUAGUUGCCAACGACGACAACUACGCUCUCGCCGCUUAAGGCGUAAGCCCCGAACCCACUUGUGUCCGUGCUCGUGGAUGUAGGGUCAUUAUCACGGAUCAGCGCCCGGCGGCGACCCGCCAACCGGGUGUCUACAUAGCGGGUGUGGACGGUGGUGUGCUUCGCACGCUGUGUUGCCACCGGACGAGAAUCAACAGCGAGCUAAGCAUGUAGUGCCAGAGAUUGAGUGCUCUCGGACGGGGGUUCAACUCCCCCCACCUCCACCA
rfam:Arenimonas donghaensis DSM 18148 = HO3-R19 contig1, whole genome shotgun sequence.